rnacentral:lncRNA from 1 species
GGGGUGCAAUGCAUAUAUAAAAUAAUAUCGUAAUAUCAUCAUAGUUUAUGAAAUUAUGUAUGCUGAUAUAAAUGACUCACUUAGCUCGAAUUAAAAUCAUCAUAAUCAUAAGAGAGUAAAAUAUAUCGCGUGAAACAUGUGAGUCAUCAUAAUAAAUCUCAAUUCACUUCCAUCUCGAUUCCAAAUCAUCAAAGCAAUCAAAUCUCAUAACAGUUCUCUUUGGAAUAUAUGUUCAUUAAAUCUUUCAAAAACAAUGACUUUCUCAAACUCAGUCUUUCAAACAAAU